rnacentral:rRNA from 1 species
UGGGGAAUUUUGGACAAUGGGCGAAAGCCUGAUCCAGCAAUGCCGCGUGUGUGAAGAAGGCCUUCGGGUUGUAAAGCACUUUUGUCCGGAAAGAAAUCCUCUGGGUUAAUACCUCGGGGGGAUGACGGUACCGGAAGAAUAAGCACCGGCUAACUACGUGCCAGCAGCCGCGGUAAUACGUAGGGUGCAAGCGUUAAUCGGAAUUACUGGGCGUAAAGCGUGCGCAGGCGGUUCGGAAAGAAAGAUGUGAAAUCCCAGAGCUUAACUUUGGAACUGCAUUUUUAACUACCGGGCUAGAGUGUGUCAGAGGGAGGUGGAAUUCCGCGUGUAGCAGUGAAAUGCGUAGAUAUGCGGAGGAACACCGAUGGCGAAGGCAGCCUCCUGGGAUAACACUGACGCUCAUGCACGAAAGCGUGGGGAGCAAACAGGAUUAGAUACCCUGGUAGUCCACGCCCUAAACGAUGUCAACUAGCUGUUGGGGUCUUCGGACCUUGGUAGCGCAGCUAACGCGUGAAGUUGACCGCCUGGGGAGUACGGUCGCAAGAUUAAAACUCAAAGGAAUUGACGGGGUCGAUANCU